UGCAACCUGAGCUCAGUCGUGAUUACCCGCUGAACUUAAGCAUAUCACUUAGCGGAGGAAAAGAAACUAAA
rnacentral:rRNA from 27 species